ACCCUACACUCAAUUUCUUACCCGCCAAAUUCCUUCUCUUUCAAUGUGCGAUUCCCUUUAAUUGUGUACUCGUUUCUUUAAUUGAGUUUCAAUGGAUUUAGAG
rnacentral:sRNA from 1 species